rnacentral:rRNA from 1 species
UACGUAGGGGGCGAGCGUUGUCCGGAUUUAUUGGGCGUAAAGAGCGUGUAGGCGGCCAGGUAGGUCUGCUGUGAAAACUCGAGGCUCAACCUCGAGACGUCGGCGGAAACCAUCUGGCUAGAGUCCGGAAGAGGAGAAUGGAAUUCCCGGUGUAGCGGUGAAAUGCGCAGAUAUCGGGAAGAACACCCGUGGCGAAGGCGGUUCUCUGGGACGGUACUGACGCUGAGACGCGAAAGCGUGGGGAGCAAACAGG